GACAGUUUGGCCGAGUGGUCUAAGGCGCUAGAAUCAGGCUCUAGUCCGUAAGGGCAUGGGUUCAAAUCCCAUAGCUGUCA